rnacentral:rRNA from 1 species
AUUGAACGCUGGCGGCAUGCUUUACACAUGCAAGUCGAACGGUAACAGGGAGCUUGCUCCGCUGACGAGUGGCGAACGGGUGAGUAAUGCGUCGGAACGUGCCGAGUAGUGGGGGAUAACGCAUCGAAAGGUGUGCUAAUACCGCAUACGUACUGAGGUAGAAAGUGGGGGACCUUCGGGCCUCACGCUAUUCGAGCGGCCGACGUCUGAUUAGCUAGUUGGUGAGGUAAAGGCUCACCAAGGCGACGAUCAGUAGCGGGUCUGAGAGGAUGAUCCGCCACACUGGGACUGAGACACGGCCCAGACUCCGACUGGAGGCAGCAGUGGGGAAUUUUGGACAAUGGGCGCAAGCCUGAUUCAGCCAUGCCGCGUGUCUGAAGAAGGCCUUCGGGUUGUAAAGGACUUUUGUCCGGGAGCAAAUGCUGGUGGCUAACAUCCACCGGAGCUGAGAGUACCGGAAGAAUAAGCACCGGCUAACUACGUGCCAGCCGCCGCGGUAACAC